GUCAACAGGAGUGGCUGCCGAGCUCACAGAGCAGGACAAGGGGGCCACAGGGGCCGCCGCUCCAUGGUAAGAAGAGGCCUGCUCAGAUGGGCAUCUGGAGAAGACCUGUCCAGCUCCAGGGUAGAAAAGGAACAGAUGGGCUCAGGCCUGGGUGCUGCCCAAGGCCAGGCUGCUUGAGAUGUUUGGUGAAAUGAGGCAACGUGCCUGUGAUUUUGUUUUCAGCCCCAUCGCCAAGGCACCCUCUGAGGCUUGCAGUCUCCAUGGGCACAGCCAGGCUGGAGUACAACGGCGUGAUCUCGGCUUUCCACAACCUCCACCUCCCGGGAUCAAGUGAUUCCCCUGCCUCAGCCUCCUAAGUAGUAGGAAUUACAGGUGUGCACCACCACACCCGGCUAACUUUUGUAUUUUUAGUAGAGACACGGUUUUGUCAUGUUGGCCAGGCUGGUCUCAAUCUCCUGACCUCAAGUGAUCCACCCGCCUGGGUCUCCCCAAAAUGCUAGAAAUACAGGUAUGAGCCACUGUGCCUGGCCCAAGAUCUUUGUGUUAGACUCAUGCUGAGUGUCCCACAUUGUAGGAAGCUCCUAAAAUGACCCCCAGUGAAAGCCCCUCUCCUGGCUUUCACCCUCUUGAUAUCUCUCCCUUGAGUGUGGGCUGGACUUAACAGCUCACUUCUAAUGAAUAGGAUAUGAUGGGGGUGAUGAAUGUCACUUCUGAGAUGAAGUUCUAAAAAGACUAUGGAGUCUGUCUUGGGCUCUCUCCCUCCGCUCACUCUAGGGGAAGCCAGCUGUCAUGUCAGGAGGUACCCGGAGCCUCUGUAUGGCUGGGAGCUAGAAGCAGCCUCAACCCAGAGUCAGUAGGAGUCGGAGGGCCUCAUUCCACCAGCUCACAGGGAACUGAAGCCCACCCACAAUUACGUAAGUGAGCUUGCACCGCAGUCAGGCUGGGGAUUCCCUCUCGGCCAAGUGUUCAGAUGAAACUGCAGCCCCAGCCACAGCUUGACUGCGUGUUGUUGGCGACCUGGGGGCAGAGGCACCAGCUCAGCUAUACCUGGAUUCCUGACUCAGAGACCAUCUGAUAAUAAAUGUUUACUAGUUUUCAACUGCUAAACGUGAGGGCAAUUUGUU